UCUCGGCUUAUCACCGGCAGUCCCCCUAGAGUGCCCAACUAAAUGAUGGCAACACACCACGGGGGUUGCGCUCGUUGCGGGACUUAACCCAACAUCUCACGACACGAGCUGACGACAGCCAUGCAGCAUCUGUGGUGCACCCUCGAAGGUCACACGUUUCCGUGCGCUUGCAGCACCAUGUCAAGUCCAGGUAAGGUUCUUCGCGUUGCAUCGAAUUAAAGAACAUGCUCCGCUGCUUGUGCGGGCCCCCGCCAAUUCCUUUGAGUUUCAACCUUGCGGCCGUAGUCCCCAGGUGGAUCACUUAAUGCGUUAGCUGCGGCACCGAGGCGAACCCCGACACCUAGUGAUCAUCGUUUAUGGCCAAGACUAC
rnacentral:misc_RNA from 1 species